rnacentral:rRNA from 1 species
UACGGGAGGCAGCAGUGGGGAAUAUUGCACAAUGGGCGCAAGCCUGAUGCAGCCAUGCCGCGUGUAUGAAGAAGGCCUUCGGGUUGUAAAGUACUUUCAGUCGUGAGGAAGGUGUUAAGGUUAAUAACCUUAGCAAUUGACGUUAGCGACAGAAGAAGCACCGGCUAACUCCGUGCCAGCAGCCGCGGUAAUACGGAGGGUGCGAGCGUUAAUCGGAAUUACUGGGCGUAAAGGGCACGCAGGCGGUUAAUUAAGUUGGAUGUGAAAUCCCCGGGCUUAACCUGGGAAUGGCAUUCAAGACUGGUUAGCUAGAGUCUUGUAGAGGGGGUAGAAUUCCGAUGUGUAGCGGUGAAAUGCGUAGAGAUGUGGAGGAAUACCGGUGGCGAAGGCGGCCCCUGGGACAAAGACUGACGCUCAUGUGCGAAAGCGUGGGGAGCAAACAGGGAUUAGAACC